AAACACCGCUCAUCGUAGAGCCUCGCAGUCAAUCAAGUUGAUAGUUACCGAGAGUCGAUAGAUAGUCUUUUUUCACUACCGUAACAGAAAGACAGAGGAACACGAAACGGUUGAGCAGAAUCAAAAUGAAGGUCAACGUAUUCAUGUUCAUCUUUGUACUUAUCGCGACUUUCGCAACCGGUGCCUUGGCCAUCAGUUGUCAGGCCCAACGACUCGGAAAACGUCCAGCCAUCUGUCGUGUCAGAUGCCCACCAGGAUAUCGUAGCGUGUUUUACGAUUCGGGAUGCCCCGCAUCAUAUAAAUGUUGCAUUUAAAUGCAAAUACCGUUACAAAGGAAUAGCGAACAUACGGAAAACACGACGCGUCCGUUUUGACGAUUGCUAUAUAAAGAUGACGAAAUAUAUA